rnacentral:rRNA from 1 species
AAUAUUGGACAAUGCGCGAAAGCCCGAUCCAGCCAUGCCGCGCGUGUGAAGAAGGACCUCGGAUUGUAAAGUACUUUACGUUGGGAGGAGGGGUUGUAGGUCAAUACACUGCAAUUUUGACGCUACCAACAGAAUAAGUACCGGCUUACUUCGUGCCAGCAGCCGCGGUAAUACGAAGGUUGCAAGCGUUAAUCGGAAUUACUGGGCGUAAAGCGCGCGUAGGUGGUUCGUUAAGUUGGAAGUGAAAGCCCCGGGCUUAACCUGGGAAUUGCUUUCAAAACUGACGAGCUAGAGUACGGUAGAGGGUAGUGGAAUUUCCUGUGUAGCGGUGGAAUGCGUAGAUAUAGGAAGGAACAUCAGUGGCGAAGGCGACUACCUGGACUGAUACUGACACUGAGGUGCGAAAGCGUGGGGAGCAAACA